CAGAUGACCACUCCAGAGUGAUUCUGGAGCCAGCCGUCAAUUCCACGGGUGAUUACAUUAAUGCCAGCAUUCUACAGGGAUACUCGACAGACUCUGUCCUUCUGGCGGCUCAAGGGCCUAAGAAAACCGAAAUAGCGGAUUUCUGGAGAAUGGUGUGGCAACAAAACGUGCGAAACCUUGUGAUGCUGACUAGACUUCUGG